ACCCCAUUUAUAGAGGCAUCAACCCUCUCCUUUUUA
rnacentral:tRNA from 1 species